AGAGUUUGAUCCUGGCUCAGGACGAACGCUGGCGGCGUGCCUAAUACAUGCAAGUAGAACGCUGAAGAGAGGAGCUUGCUCUUCUUGGAUGAGUUGCGAACGGGUGAGUAACGCGUAGGUAACCUGCCUUGUAGCGGGGGAUAACUAUUGGAAACGAUAGCUAAUACCGCAUAACAAUGGAUGACACAUGUCAUUUAUUUGAAAGGGGCAAUUGCUCCACUACAAGAUGGACCUGCGUUGUAUUAGCUAGUAGGUGAGGUAACGGCUCACCUAGGCGACGAUACAUAGCCGACCUGAGAGGGUGAUCGGCCACACUGGGACUGAGACACGGCCCAGACUCCUACGGGAGGCAGCAGUAGGGAAUCUUCGGCAAUGGGGGCAACCCUGACCGAGCAACGCCGCGUGAGUGAAGAAGGUUUUCGGAUCGUAAAGCUCUGUUGUAAGUCAAGAACGAGUGUGAGAGUGGAAAGUUCACACUGUGACGGUAGCUUACCAGAAAGGGACGGCUAACUACGUGCCAGCAGCCGCGGUAAUACGUAGGUCCCGAGCGUUGUCCGGAUUUAUUGGGCGUAAAGCGAGCGCAGGCGGUUUGAUAAGUCUGAAGUUAAAGGCUGUGGCUCAACCAUAGUUCGCUUUGGAAACUGUCAAACUUGAGUGCAGAAGGGGAGAGUGGAAUUCCAUGUGUAGCGGUGAAAUGCGUAGAUAUAUGGAGGAACACCGGUGGCGAAAGCGGCUCUCUGGUCUGUAACUGACGCUGAGGCUCGAAAGCGUGGGGAGCGAACAGGAUUAGAUACCCUGGUAGUUCACGCCGUAAACGAUGAGUGCUAGGUGUUGGAUCCUUUCCGGGAUUCAGUGCCGCAGCUAACGCAUUAAGCACUCCGCCUGGGGAGUACGACCGCAAGGUUGAAACUCAAAGGAAUUGACGGGGGCCCGCACAAGCGGUGGAGCAUGUGGUUUAAUUCGAAGCAACGCGAAGAACCUUACCAGGUCUUGACAUCCCGAUGCUAUUUCUAGAGAUAGAAAGUUACUUCGGUACAUCGGUGACAGGUGGUGCAUGGUUGUCGUCAGCUCGUGUCGUGAGAUGUUGGGUUAAGUCCCGCAACGAGCGCAACCCCUAUUGUUAGUUGCCAUCAUUCAGUUGGGCACUCUAGCGAGACUGCCGGUAAUAAACCGGAGGAAGGUGGGGAUGACGUCAAAUCAUCAUGCCCCUUAUGACCUGGGCUACACACGUGCUACAAUGGUUGGUACAACGAGUUGCGAGUCGGUGACGGCAAGCUAAUCUCUUAAAGCCAAUCUCAGUUCGGAUUGUAGGCUGCAACUCGCCUACAUGAAGUCGGAAUCGCUAGUAAUCGCGGAUCAGCACGCCGCGGUGAAUACGUUCCCGGGCCUUGUACACACCGCCCGUCACACCACGAGAGUUUGUAACACCCGAAGUCGGUGAGGUAACCUUUUGGAGCCAGCCGCCUAAGGUGGGAUAGAUGAUUGGGGUGAAGUCGUAACAAGGUA
rnacentral:rRNA from 1 species